AAGAUUUUAAGUUAAGCUUAAACUAUUAACCUUCAAAGUUAAAAAUAAAUAAAUUUUUAAAUCUUA
rnacentral:tRNA from 1 species